rnacentral:rRNA from 1 species
UGCCAGCAGCCGCGGUAAUACGAAGGGACCUAGCGUAGUUCGGAAUUACUGGGCUUAAAGAGUUCGUAAGUGGUUGAAAAAGUUGGCGGUGAAAUCCCAGAGCUUAACUCUGGAACUGCCAUCAAAACUUUUCAGCUAGAGUAUGAUAGAGGAAAGUAGAAUUUCUAGUGUAGAGGUGAAAUUCGUAGACAUUAGAAAGAAUACCAAUUGCGAAGGCAGCUUUCUGGAUCAUUACUGACGCUGAGGAACGAAAGCAUGGGUAGCGAAGAGGAUUAGAUA